UUGAGGUGCAAACACACCCUCCAUUUCUGCUACCUGUAUGACCUCUUCUCUUUUCCAAUGGUUAUAAUCAGUCUGACAGAGAGAGGUAUCCGAAUCCUUGUGGUUUUUAGUAUAACAAUGACCAUCAUUGGACUCUACAUAGACAAACUUUAGCAGUUUAUCAUUUACUUAGUACCCCUACACAUAGCCCAUUCUAAAAUGGCCAAACUCUAACAGUAGUUGAAUCUAACCUCCCAAACAACCCCGCACCAUGCCAAACCCUGAAGUGCCUUGAGACGACAUGUGUUGUGAAUUGGCGCUAUAUAAAUAAUUUAAAAAACUGAAUUAAAUUGAAUUGGAGGUAACAAAGAAAGAAAAAACUAAUUUAAUUGUUUCAAAGAAAAAACUUUCUUUCAGGCAUAGUUUUAUCAGUUUUAUAAAUUUCACACAAGAAUGUUAUUCUUUUAUGUAGACAGAAUUUACUUUUACACAAAGUCUGGGUCAUCCACACACCAGGUUGAUUUCUGUUCUUUUAUCCAUUGUGUCCAAAGCUCCAGCAUUGUUUUUGUCCAUAGCUUUUAGAAUAGAAAUUGAGAGAUAAAAUAAUCUUGGUAAGAUAUUGGUCUUAACUGUUUCAACUCCUGAGCUAAAAUUUGAAAUGGUAUGAGGCUCCAGCUUGCUAGAUGUUUUCCUGCUUUUAUUUUUAAGUUGUACAAAGCUUAUUUUUGAAGGGUCUUGCCUUUAGAUAUAUAUUUUUUUUACUUUUAUUUUUUAUUCUCAUUUUCUGUGGACAAAUACAUAUAGAUCAGACAUUUUCCAGAAUAUUAAGGCCUACUAAAGGUCUCUCACCUUAUCCGUGGAAAUAACUUCCAGUGAAUAUAUAUUGAACAUAAGAACAGUAAUACAAAGAGAACAAGAAAAAAAAAACAUCUCGGUUGCAGGUGUCUAGGAUCUAUAAAAAUCUUUAAAAAAUAAUAUUGAAGUUCCUUAAGUCUCUUCUUGGGUGUCAUAUUGUGUCCAUUUUUCCCAUUUAUCCAUACAAAUGUCUUCUUGUAAUAAGAGAAUGAAGGUCAUUCGCUCCGUCACAUAAAUAUCCCUAACAAUAUUCAGUCACUGUUUUAGUGAUGGAGCUGAUAUCUGACACCAAUUUCUUGUUAUGGCUUUUUUGCAAGAGAUUAACAGAAUCUUAACCAAAUACACAUCUUCUCUCGCAACACAUUAUUCCAGGUUUCCAAGAUACAUUGACUUAAAAUCCUUUGGUAUUGAGUACCCACAUAUUCUUUCAACUAUAAGAUUCACAUUUCUCCAAAACAUGGUUCAUUUUGGACACGUCCAGAAUAUAUGUGUAUGAUUUGCUUCUAUAUUUCCACACAUUCUCCAGCAUGUAAGAUGAGACCUGGUUUGCUUACUCUUUAUCUUUGGUGUAAUAAAAAAUCUAGAAAGGUUUUUCCAUCCAAACUCUCUCCAGGGUGUGGAGUUUGUUGUUGUGCCCUGAUUUAUACACAUAUCUCGCCAUUCUUCAGAUGAUAUUUCCAUUUUAAUUUCUUUUUCCCAGUUAUUUUUUUUAUAUAUAUAUGGUAGAUGCUGGUGUAUUUUCUCUUAAUGUUUUAUGUAAUGACGUUAUUUCCUUGAAGUUAAUUCCUUUAUAGGUUUUAAUCACACAGCUAACUAAACCAUCUAAUGUCUGAAAGUUCUGUAUUUCUCUAAGGUAAUAAUCUCGGAGCUGCAAGUAUUGAAAGAAGUUAGUGUUCUCCAGUUGAUAUUUAUCUUUUAAUUCUUCAAAACUCAUAAUUUUACCAUCUUUAAUUAUAGUAUAAAUAGCAGUUAUUCCUCUGUUUUCCCAGAUUUUAAAUCUGUGAUAAUUCCUUCCUGGUGCAAAAUUAUUAUCAUAUGUGACCCAACGUAACAGCCUAACCCCCUUUCCCAGUCCAUUUUGUUUUAUCCUUUCAAACCAGAUGUCCACAGUAUGAGAAGUUAUUGGAUCUAAUUGGUGUUGGUGUCCCUUUUGUUGAGUAGAUACGAGUGCAGGUGCUGGGAGACAGGAACAUGUCCUAAUAUGGUUAUGGUGAAUAAACGAACGCGCAGAAGUUCCUCUUUAAAGAGGAACUUCAACAAUUUGGUGACCCCCGACGUGGACAACAGAGAGUGACAGACAAGAUCUUCUGACACCGGGCGCCCAUUUACAUCUUCUAAAAGGUUCAUUCAGAAAGACCAUCUAGUGGUCACACGGAGGAAUUACACAACCGACUGGGAGUGCAGUCCGUGUUAAAUCUUUCAACACACAUUCUGACUUAAAAAUGCGGUUGGAUUUUUGAUUAUUUGAGGGAAAAUGAAAUGCAUUUAUUGAAUAUAGGGUGAAGUGGCUUGUAGUGGAUUGUUUCUGCAUAUUUCUGCAUUUCCUGUGUGCGAGUGUCUGUAACUGAUAGUGCUGUUGAAUUGAGGAAGUACGAGCUGGAAUGUGUGUGUGUACUGCAUAGCAAUAUUAAAACACUUGUUGUUUUCUAAGAUAUCACCAGCUAAAACUUUUAAAACUUUUGAGAGUAAUUGGUUUUGUUGAACACAUUUUCCUUGGUA